rnacentral:rRNA from 1 species
AGUGAACGCUGGCGGUAGGCCUAACACAUGCAAGUCGAACGGCAGCACAGGAGAGCUUGCUCUCUGGGUGGCGAGUGGCGGACGGGUGAGGAAUACAUCGGAAUCUACUUUUUCGUGGGGGAUAACGUAGGGAAACUUACGCUAAUACCGCAUACGACCUACGGGUGAAAGCAGGGGACCUUCGGGCCUUGCGCGAUUGAAUGAGCCGAUGUCGGAUUAGCUGGUUGGCGGGGUAAAGGCCCACCAAGGCGACGAUCCGUAGCUGGUCUGAGAGGAUGAGUAGCCAGAAUGGAACUGAGACACGGUCCGGACUCCUACGGGAGGCAGCAGUGGGGAAUAUUGGACAAUGGGCGCAAGCCUGAUCCAGCCAUACCGCGUGGGUGAAGAAGGCCUUCGGGUUGUAAAGCCCUUUUGUUGGGAAAGAAAUCCAGCUGGCUAAUACCCGGUUGGGAUGACGGUACCCAAAGAAUAAGCACCGGCUAACUUCGUGCCAGCAGCCGCAGUAA